rnacentral:rRNA from 1 species
GAUGAACGCUGGCGGCGUGCUUAACACAUGCAAGUCGAACGGACUCAUAUUGAAACCUAGUGAUUUAUGAGUUAGUGGCGGACGGGUGAGUAACGCGUGGAAAACCUGCCGUAUACCGGGGGAUAACACUUAGAAAUAGGUGCUAAUACCGCAUAAGCGCACAGCUUCGCAUGAAGCAGUGUGAAAAACUCCGGUGGUAUAUGAUGGUUCCGCGUCUGAUUAGCUAGUUGGCGGGGUAACGGCCCACCAAGGCAGCGAUCAGUAGCCGGCCUGAGAGGGUGAACGGCCACAUUGGGACUGAGACACGGCCCAA